GAUGAAGAACGUAGCGAAAUGCGAUAAGUAAUGUGAAUUGCAGAAUUCAGUGAAUCAUCGAAUCUUUGAACGCACAUUGCGCCCGCCGGUAUUCCGGCGGGCAUGCCUGUUCGAGCGCCAUUUCAACCAUCAAGCCCUGGGCUUGUGUUGGGGACCUGCGGCUGCCGCAGGCCCUGAAAUGCAGUGGCGGGCUCGCAAGACACACCGAGCGUAGUAGCUUACAACCUCGCUUUGGGAGUGCUGCGGGUGCUGGCCGUAAAGCGACCUUUUGCGUCUUUAGCACUAGGUUGACCUCGGAUCAGGUAGGAGGACCCGCUGAACUUAAGCAUAUCAAUAAGCGGAGGA
rnacentral:misc_RNA from 1 species